rnacentral:tRNA from 1 species
ACCUGGUUGGCUCAGUCGGUUAAGUGUCUGACUUCGGCUCAAGUCAUGAUCUUAAGGUUCGUGGGUUCAACUCCCACAUUGGGCU